ACCCUAAUCCGUUACAUUCUUAUUUUUAAUGUGGGUCAUUAUUUCCUCAAUGAAGCUGAAGAAAAACGCUCCGAGAGGUCUAAAUGUUAUUGGCAAUCGAUAGAAUUGAAGCUCAUAAAAUCACACUUCUUUGCUGUCAUGGAAUCUUAUACUCCCACAAUCGAUAAGAAAUUUGUUUAAGAGGUCGAUCAAUCCCAGGGGAUAUGCGGUAUUUUCCUAAGUAUUUACUAGGUUUUCCUUUUGAUGAACAGAGGGAUUCUCAUAUUUACUAAAGAAGCCGCAUCUUCAAACUUCAGGCAGUGGGUCCUGGAUAUAGUUUGCACAACCUCUGCUACUAAAACACUCAGGGAGUGGAUGGCACUAUCUUGGUUGGAAUGUCUGCAGUACUGAAGUAGCGGAAGAGGAUUGUUAUCUUUGGUGCAUCAAGUGUAGAGCUAAAGUCUCCAUCGCAGUACUCAGGUAACACAUGAUGUAUCACAACAAUAAUUUGCACAACUCCGCUACUACCAAGGAUUUGUUAGUAGAAAACAUGCAAGGAUUAGAGCAGCUUCAAAUAAGAACUUUGUGAAACAAUGAAUUCUUGGUUGGUAACGAUGUUCCAGAAAUAAUCAAAGAAUCCUUAUAACCGUUGAACACAAACAAUAGGCAAAAAAAAAAAAAACUCUGGAUUAUCCAGGUAUGUAAACAUGAACCAUAAUUCGAGUUUGAGGGAAAGUAUUGGGUAUAGUUUGUAUGAAAUGUCUUUACCAUGUUUCAUUUGCUCUAUCUCUUAUUAGAAUGUAUAUGAGUUCCUAUGCA